rnacentral:rRNA from 1 species
CCUACGGGAGGCAGCAGUGGGGAAUAUUGCACAAUGGGGGCAACCCUGAUGCAGCGACGCCGCGUGAGCGAGGAAGUAUUUCGGUAUGUAAAGCUCUAUCAGCAGGGAAGAAAAUGACGGUACCUGACUAAGAAGCUCCGGCUAACUACGUGCCAGCAGCCGCGGUAAUACGUAGGGGGCAAGCGUUAUCCGGAUUUACUGGGUGUAAAGGGAGCGUAGACGGCUGAGCAAGUCAGAAGUGAAAGCCCGGGGCUCAACCCCUGGACUGCUUUUGAAACUGAGUAUCUAGAGUGCAGGAGAGGUAAGCGGAAUUCCUAGUGUAGCGGUGAAAUGCGUAGAUAUUAGGAGGAACACCAGUGGCGAAGGCGGCUUACUGGACGGUAACUGACGUUGAGGCUCGAAAGCGUGGGGAGCAAACAGGAUUAGAUACCCCUGUAGUC